UUCCUGUGGAAGAGAAAGUAUGGCAAAGAGGGAUAUUACAUAAAUUACCAAGAGCAUAAGAGCCAUAGCCCUAGCAAGGUUACUCACAUUAUGUAUCCAAUUAAAAACAAGAGUCUCGGUCUGUGCACGCCCUACCGAGGUCCUGAGUCGUGCGGAAGAUACCGAAUCACCCCGCUAAAGACAGGCAGCCACCUGAUUCCACACUACAAAGACGCAGAGGAUACCAGACCACCAGACCAAGUGCGCACCCUCAGUGCUAGGGCCCUUGCCUCCUCAGCAUUGUGGCCACAUCUAUCACUUCCUCCCCCAGCCCCUGGUGUGUGAUGACUGGGCCACCAGAAGCUAUCUGUAAAGACCCCCUUAUGGCUGGGGAGCUCCCGUUCUGAUGGAGGAGACAAAGACUAAAUAAACACAUUAAACCUGUGUCUGCACAGUGGGUCCCAAGAUCUAAGUGUUCUAGAAAAAAAAAAAAAGUCAGGGAAGAGGGAUGGGAGGUACUGUGGACUGCUUCUCUCUCUCUCUCUCUCUCUCUCUCUCUCUCUCUCUGGUAUUAUGGGUUGAACCAGGGCCUUCACACUGAGCUACACCCUAG
rnacentral:lncRNA from 1 species